UUUGCAGAAACUGACUAAUGGUAUGACAUUCUGAAAAGCGGUUACAGAUUAAAAAUUUUUUAUUUUUGCAGAUGAUAGUGUCGAACACAGUGGAACAAAGAAAGAAGAUCUGGAUGACAAAGAAAAAUGAAGAAGAAACUCCUGCACCUGUGUACAGCGCCAAGUCAAUUCUGGACAGUUGGUUAUGGGGCAAGCAACCAGAUAAUCUUCUGCGUUUUGACACUUAGGAAAGCUUAAUCUGACGCUCCUUAUCUAAAUAACUUGGAUGGAUUAUUAGUAUUUAUGCUUUUGUCUGGCCCCCUGAGCCCCAGCGAGAGUUUCCUGAGGUACCUCACCCUUCCACAAGACAACGAGCUUGCCAUUGAUCUGCAACAGACCACGGUUGUUGUCAUGGGCCAUUUAGACCGUCUGGCUACGCCCUGUUUGCCUCCACUGUGUAGCUCUCCGACGUCUCGUAAGUCAUUAAACAAAAGGAGGCCCCGUGCGGUGGCUCAUGCCUGUAAUCCCAGCACUUUGGGAGGCCGAGGUGGGCGGAUCACAAGGUCAGGAGAUCGAGACCAUCCUGGCGAACACGGUGAAACCCCGUUUCUACUAAAAAUACAAAAAAUUAGCCGGGUGUGCUGGCGGGCGCCUGUAGUCCCAGCUACUCGGGAGGCUGAGGCAGGAGAAUGGUGUGAACCUGGGAGGUGGAGGUUGCAGUGAGCCGAGAUCCCGCCAUUGCACUCCAACCUG
rnacentral:lncRNA from 1 species